GUUCCUCAAGGUGGCUACAACGUUCUGUCUUAUAUUCCAUGACAUGUUCGUAUUGGUUUAGUGUAAACGGCAGUAUGCUGACUUGACACUAAAAACAGAGGAUAUUAACCUCUCACCCGGUCAUUAUGAUGUUACAGAGAAACCUAUCCCCAAAUCACCCUGCAAACAUGUGAUGUUCCGAUCAGUGGUACAGAGGGUCAGCUUUCUCCCGAAAGAGGGGCCAGCACCUGGACAUUACAACCCAAGGCCAAGCACAGGCAUUGCAGUCACUUCCUGCUUUAAGUCUACUGUACCACGGCUGUACAGUGUGCACUCGGGAACUCCAGGACCAGGUGUGUAUGAGCCUACAUGGCACAAAGGUCAGCGGCUUAACACUGAUGUCAAAGUGGACUGGGCCCAUGACCUCCUUUUUCGCAACAUACCAUGAACUUCCUUUUGUCUUUGACCUUCCCAUA
rnacentral:lncRNA from 1 species